GCCCAGAUGGCGGAAAUGGUAGACGCGCAGCGUUGAGGGCGCUGUGCCGGAAACGGCGUGUGGGUUCGAGCCCCACUCUGGGUACCA
rnacentral:tRNA from 1 species